UAGCAAUAUUAGGACUGCUAAAUUCAAUUACGGCGACUUUCCCGCUUCCGGAUUCAUUACGGCCAUAAUUUUCGCGUUGCUCCCAGAUAAUAGGUAAGAUUAAUUUUGUAAGUGAGGGACCAUUAAAAUUAAAUCUCAAGAAAAUCCCGUUAGCUGUAACUUCCACUAGAUCCUUAGGGAAUGCCUCAGCCCACUUCUGAGCCAAUUCCUGAGGUUUCCCUUUCACACGCAGACGGGGAACUGGCAAAUUGAGAUCAGCAGAAUCUUUGCUGAUUGAAGUUUCGAGAGCUGGAUAGAUUAGAGAAACAUCAACCCCAUUGAUUUUUGACAACUCCGAGGAAAUGUAGCUGCGAUAAACAUCAACAGGAUUAUGAUGAAUAUCUGCUUCCCUGAAAACAGGAAGAUCUUGCAAACCAAGAGUACUUAAACUUUUGGAAAUUUGAUCAACAGAAGUUGCCAUUUUCGUUUCAAACUUAUUUAACAGUGAGAUCUGGCGACGAGGAACUUUGAGAAGUGGGAUAUUUGAACGAAGUGAAAAUUUCAAGCCAGCACAAGAUCUAACAGACCAAGAUA